CAUCAUGGUGAAAUGGCAAAGAGGAAGCAAACACAUCUUCACCUGAAAACUUAAACCAGCAAUAGGUAGUUCCUGUCGGUCCAGAAUUUGGGAGUGGCUGUUUUGGUUUAAAGUAUCUCAUGAGGUUUUAAUCACAAUGUUGGCCCAUUCGAUAAUCAUCUGAAGGCUUGGUCGGGUUAGAUAAUUCACUUCCAUUUAAUGUGGAUCACUCAUUUGUCUGGCAAGUCAUCUUUAUUGUCAGCAAGAGACUGUAGUUUAUUGUCACAUGGUCUGCUUUGUACAAUAUAUUGAGUGUCUUCACAAAAUGGAAGCUGGCACAUAAAGGAAUAUUCCCACAGAACAAGUGAUGUCAGAGAGUAAGGUGGAUACCAUGAUGCCUUUUAUAACCUAGCCUCAGCACCUAGCAACAUUCUAUUAUUUCUGCAAUAUUCUAUUGGUCUCACAGAUCAGCUCUAUUCAGUAUGGAAAAGGACUACACAGAAACUUGAAUAACAUGAGGCAAGAAUCAAUGGGGACCAUCUUGGAUAAUGGUUAUUACCAAGAAGAUAAACACAAUAAUAAAUAGAAUAUUUAAGUGAUGACCAGUGCUCCAAUAACCAUGUUGGAAUAUGAAGCAACCUUGAAGAUGAAAGCUAUGCACUUAGAAUGAGGAGUAGAAACUUAAACACUAAGGACCAAGAAACAGCAACACUAAUCCUGAACUCUAUUUCAGGACUUCUUUUAAAUGAAAAAAAAAAAAAAUAAUAAUCUUCCAUACAUUUAGCCAAUGCGAAUACUGUUCAACUUGACUUGGGCAUUGUCACUUCUUUCUGGUGACCUGAAAUGCAGAGACAAUACUUAUUGAAGUGCAGAGACAAUAAAAGACAAUAAAAGGACAAUAAAAGACAAAGACAAUAUUUACUGAAGUGCAGAGACAAUAAAAUAAUUAUAAGUGAAGAGAAGUCUAAGGAAUCUCUGUG
rnacentral:lncRNA from 1 species